rnacentral:rRNA from 1 species
CGAACGGGUGAGUAACACGUGGGCAACCUGCCCCCGGCUCUGGGAUAACUCCAAGAAAUUGGGGCUAAUACCGGAUGUUCACCGCUUCCCGCAUGGGUGGUGGUGGAAAGGGUUUCCGGCUGGGGAUGGGCCCGCGGCCUAUCAGCUUGUUGGUGGGGUAGUGGCCUACCAAGGCGACGACGGGUAGCCGGCCUGAGAGGGUGACCGGCCACACUGGGACUGAGACACGGCCCAGACUCCUACGGGAGGCAGCAGUGGGGAAUAUUGCGCAAUGGGCGGAAGCCUGACGCAGCGACGCCGCGUGGGGGAUGACGGCCUUCGGGUUGUAAACCUCUUUCAGCAGGGACGAAGCGCAAGUGACGGUACCUGCAGAAGAAGCACCGGCCAACUACGUGCCAGCAGCCGCGGUAAUACGUAGGGUGCAAGCGUUGUCCGGAAUUAUUGGGCGUAAAGAGCUCGUAGGCGGUUCGUCGCGUCGGCUGUGAAAACCCGGAGCUCAACUCCGGGCCUGCAGUCGAUACGGGCGGACUUGAGUUCGGCAGGGGAGACUGGAAUUCCUGGUGUAGCGGUGAAAUGCGCAGAUAUCAGGAGGAACACCGGUGGCGAAGGCGGGUCUCUGGGCCGAAACUGACGCUGAGGAG